GAGGAGGGUAUCCCUCACUGAAUUGCUCCUCCCAAGGUUUCUUCAAUUUUUCUCCUCUGCUAAUAACACCUGCAGCAUCAGAGCUGUUGUCCUUGCUGGGAAAUACAGGGGGAAGCUGGGAAGUUCCAACACUUUGUAGUAAUGACAUCUCCGUUUACAGAGCUGGAGCUGCUGACGAUUGUCUUCUCUCUGUUGGUCUUUGGUCUCUGUACUCUUACUGGCAUGAUAAGAGAGGAGUGCUCACACACACAGGGAACUACAUUCUCAAAGAGAGUGGUCAUUGUCUGACUCUUGGACAGGAAGCUGUCACACAAAUCUGCACAAGUCCCCGAAAAAGCUUCAGUGAUGUGUACAACUGCACAGCUUCAUCCAAUCAAAGACAAGCAUACGUGCUGAACACAGCCUGAAUACACAGAUACGGAAUAGCGUAUAAUUAGGGAAUGAGUGGAUGUUGAAGUGGUUUGUGUGUGUGUGUGUGUGUGUGCUUGUCUGAGUGUGGACUUUGCUCAAGGAUGUACAAGCCCUCUAGGAUCAAGCAUAGGAGUGGUUGGUGAUGUCAUAAAUUAUAAUAAACAAACACUUUUUAACACAACCAUUUGUAAACAUUAGGUAUUUUUUCACCACGAAGCAGGUAAUGCAACAUACCCAGGUAGGUUAACUCCCCAGCUGACACCCAACUUUGCCAGUAAGUUGCUGCAACAUGUCAGCUGGAAAGUUAACUUUACCGGUUAACUUAACUUACCAUGUGUGUCCAUAUUCAUGUGUGUGGGAUCAACAAAUUUAUCUCUAAAACAGGUAAGAACCUUUCUGUUAUUUGUGGCAUCUGUUGGAAAUGAGUGAACUGUUUUGUUUCCUGUAAUUUUCCGUGAAAUAAUGUGCUGCAGUGGAAUGUGACCUGUAGUGUAACAUUGGACUGGAGUGUCCUUUUCUUCACCUCGAUGAAAAUGAAGGACCUUGUUCAUCGUUUGGAGGUUAUUUCAAAAAGCAGGGUUAAUAUACUCUGAGGUAGACAGUUUCAGUAGUCCAGUUAGUUCAUUCAACUCGGAGAAGCCUGAGUAAAGCCCGCGCACACCGGUACAAAAAUCCCUCAUUAAUGAAACACAGAUAACACUAUUCAUCCUAAACCAAAAAUAAUUGUAGCAUAUUGUAUCUCUGACUACCUGACAAUCUCUCUCCGUGUUCGUGUUCCGAUCUGAGAGAGCAUGUCCACAUCGUCAUACAAACGAUGUAAGGGCACAAACGGAGAUCUGUGCAUCAAAAGAUAGCUCUUUUGAGAAAAGGACAUGACUUGAGUGAAUUUAAAUAACUGUAUUUGUAUCACUUUCGUAAGUGGGUUCAGUUAUGGCCAAAACUACUCGGAGUCAUUAAACAUUGUGCGCAGCAGCUGUAGACAAUAGCCCUUCCCUGUGGUUGACAAUAGUACUGCAACUGAACCUCAGCUGUUUGAGUUAACUUUCAUCUUCAUCGCCUUCAUCAUCGUCUUCAUUUAUAGCCUGGCCUCAAUUUGCACACAGCCAGCUAAAGAAACACAUCUAUGGAAGGCAAAGGAGAAGUUCCAAAGCUUUUCAAAGAGAAAGAAAACAGUGAUCUUCAAACAAGCAACUCCACAAGGGCCUUGAAUCAUUCACACAGACACAGGAACAAACUCUUAACAAUGUAAAGACAAAUACACCAACGGUUGCAACUCUGCGGUAACGGUUUAAACUCUGGACUAGGCCUAACUGAUUGUUGCAGUGUCAUUUGUUAGCCACUAGGGAGGUUUCUUUACAAUAAAUGUGUUCAUCGUGGUUUGAUCCCCAUGCAUGUGGUAGUCAUGUGAACCUUAGAAGGUUACAAUAAAUCCCUUGGCAUUCGUCGACAGUUGAAGCGUUCGAAUGAAUCAAUGUGAGGGUUCCUUCUGCCUCUCUGCCCUCCCCCCCACCCCCCCCCCCCCCACACACACACACACAGGGCCAGAGUGGGUGCCUACAAACUUCUUGUGCAGGAAUAGUCUGAUUUGAUUCCAAAAGUCUUUACAUAGCUGAUCAUUGCUCCAGUGGUUUAAGACGAAGCAUCAGUAUUUGACAUGAUAACACAACAUAUGUAUCACGUGUAGGUGUGUGUGUGCAUGUGUAUUAGACGUGCAGACUUAUUCAUGUGCAUAUGUGUUCAUUGGUGUCCAUACUGAACAAUUGUAGUUGACGGGUCUUAAGACCAAUUAGUGCCUGACAGUCCUCAGCAGUCAUUAGGCUAGACGUCCUGGCUGCAUGACAAGAGACACACCAGUCUAACGAUGGGAAAUGUAACUGACUCACUAGGCACAAUCAGCACACAUGCACUCAUAGCACAAUUCAGCACACAUACGCACUCAACACAUCCCCCCGGAAAAUGUAAUGUCACAAUGCGAGCCAGAAUGCUGAAUUACUAAAGAAUUUAUAUUAAAAAUUAAUUAUUAUUAGAAAUUAUUAUACUGGUUGUCAAUAUGGGUUAUGUCAGUGUGUGUGUGUGUUGGUGUGUGUGUGUGUGUGUGUGUGAGUGAGUGUGUUUGAGUGUAUGUAUUCAUUGUGAUUGGUUGGUAGUGUGCCAUUGGGUUUGAUGACUGACCUGUUCAAUUGAAAUGGUUUGGGUCAAAGUACAUGUGUGUGUGUGUGUGUGCAACCAUAGGGAGUAUUUGAGGAGCCGAGGUAAUCCCUGUUGUAGACAUACAAUUCAUACGAAGUGCCAACAUUACAACACACACACCCAUACACCCGACCCGCCGUCAGGGCGGUCUAAGGGUACAGAUGACCAUGGGCCAUUUCAAUAUAAUUUAGUACAACAAUUUACUGACAUAUCAUUGAUAAUACAUUGUAAUGGGGAAAAUGUGUGUCAGACAGCCAGUGAGAGAGAGACAGAGAGAAAGAGACAGACAGACAGACAGACAGACAGACACACAGAGUCUGGAAGAGAUAUGGCACCAGUCAGUGUUGUAGCCAUGGCUACCAGGUGGCUCUAAAUGACAAAGGGUCCACGAUUAGCAUAUUCAAAUAAGGAGUAUAAAAGUUUUCUAAGACAAAAGCAGCCAGAGAGCAAACUGCAGCUUUGCAGUGAUGGAAAUAACCUAAGUCCUCAGCAUGGCCACGAACAGAUAGAAUCCACGUGUGCCUGUGUGUGCCUGUGUGUGCCUGUGUGUGCCUGUGUGCCUGUGUGUGCGUCCAUAAGGAAUGUCUGGCACUGUGAGGGACAUUUUUGCAAACACCAUAAAGCAAUAAAAAUAACAUUUUCUAACGGCACACACACACACACACACACACACAGAGAGAGAGGUACACACCACUCAAUAACACACCCCACCCUCCUCCCCUCUUUCUCCUUGUCUUUCUCACUUAAUGGUACAUGGGAGUUGAUGGUCCAGAUGCUUGUUCAAAGUCUUGGCAGCCAUCUUGUGCUCCUGGUCCAUUAGUGUCCUGCUGUUUCUCUAAUCCUCAUUCACAUGUAAUGACGAACAUUUCAUCUUACUGUGUUAAUUCAUUAGCAGACCAACUGAAUGUAGAGAGGUGCAGUCCACAGACCUGGCUGUUAGCACACACGCUAAUGAGUCCUGUACUUUGCAAAGACACUGGGUGACAUAGGGUUAACACUGUCAGUCCGUCAUACUUGCUCCACCUUAUCAACUGUAGACCGUGUUACAAAAAGACACACAAUAAGAGAAUGCCAAGCUCAUCCAAUAAAAAUGACAACAAUCAACAUAUCUACAGUGAACAGUCAGAAUAGAUUGGAUUUGCACGCACGCACACACACCCAACCACACACACCCAACUACACACACGUGCAGAGACAUGGAUAGACCUAAAAAGCGGUCCCAGAUGCUCUAGUGUUCUCCUAGGUGGACCCAGACUGUCGUUAGUUAGUUCAAUGCAGCGGUUGGACUCUCAACACUCAAGAGGUGAACAGCCGGCCUUAACCCCCUGGCCUUUCUCUCUUUCCACCCAGCCAAGGCCUCAUCCCCUCCAGCCACGAGAUGUGGAAGGCCC